AGACAUGGUGCAGCGUCUCUCCUGUGCACUCAGAAUAUUUAAAUUUUAUUUUACUAGCUGGUAUUAUCCUGCUUAACACAACGCAACAGCAUCCCUGUAAGCAACCGUGUGUCUCUCUGCGUAUAGGUUUCACGUUAAAGCAAGCUUCAGUUCUGUCUCUCUUUAUCUCUGUCCACACACACACAUAAGAGAGUCCCGCCCACAAACACACACCAGGAAAAGAAAGAAACAAAACUAAACUGUUUGUGGAAUCCCUUUAACACCGAGCUCCUUGUUCUCCAUGCAAAUGGCAUGUGCUCCGUUUGCCUCCAGGACCUGCAGGAGCACAGCUGCCCUCAGUGUCAACAGGAUUCCUCAUGUGGGACGGAUCUGGAAGAAUCCAGGGCUCCGGCUGCACAUCCAGACGAAUCCAGCAACCACAAAGGACAUGGUCUGGGCUGCUACAGAACCAGCAUAGGGACAGAGGCAGCUGGAAGCGUCCAAGCAGACGGUUAGAGAUCAAGAGACUGACCUGAAGGAAAUCCAAAAGGCAUCUUGUGGACUCAAGUGUUUAACAUAAACUGCACCUUUGUGGUCAGAAUUUCCAUACAUCCAAAAGCAACAAGUACAGA